AGUGAACGCUGGCGGUAGGCCUAACACAUGCAAGUCGAACGGCAGCACAGUAAGAGCUUGCUCUUACGGGUGGCGAGUGGCGGACGGGUGAGGAAUACAUCGGAUUCUACUUUUUCGUGGGGGAUAACGUAGGGAAACUUACGCUAAUACCGCAUACGACCUACGGGUGAAAGCAGGGGAUCUUCGGACCUUGCGCGAUUGAAUGAGACGAUGUCGGAUUAGCUAGUUGGCGGGGUAAAGGCCCACCAAGGCGACGCUCCGUAGCUGGUCUGAGAGGAUGAUCAGCCACACUGGAACUGAGACACGGUCCAGACUCCUACGGGAGGCAGCAGUGGGGAAUAUUGGACAAUGGGCGCAAGCCUGAUCCAGCCAUACCGCGUGAGUGAAGAAGGCCUUCGGGUUGUAAAGCCCUUUUGUUGGGAAAGAAAAGCAGCAGGUUAAUACCCCGCUGUUCUGACGGUACCCAAAGAAUAAGCACCGGCUAACUUCGUG
rnacentral:rRNA from 1 species